CUGGAUACAGAGAUUAGCAUGACCCUGCACAAAGAUGACAGGCAAAUUCAUAAGACAUUCCAUAUUUUU
rnacentral:snRNA from 1 species